GACGAACGCUGGCGGCGUGCUUAACACAUGCAAGUCGAACGGAAAGGCCCUGCUUUUGUGGGGUGCUCGAGUGGCGAACGGGUGAGUAACACGUGAGUAACCUGCCCUUGACUUUGGGAUAACUUCAGGAAACUGGGGCUAAUACCGGAUAGGAGCUCCUGCUGCAUGGUGGGGGUUGGAAAGUUUCGGCGGUUGGGGAUGGACUCGCGGCUUAUCAGCUUGUUGGUGGGGUAGUGGCUUACCGAGGCUUUGACGGGUAGCCGGCCUGAGAGGGUGACCGGCCACAUUGGGACUGAGAUACGGCCGAGACUCCUACGGGCGGCAGCAGUGGGGAAUAUUUCACGAUGGGCGGAAGCCAGAUGCAGCAACGCCGGGUGCGGGAUGACGGCCUUCGGGUUGUAAACCGCUUUCGCCUGUGACGAAGCGUGAGUGACGGUAAUGGAUGAAGAAGCACCGGCUAACUACGUG
rnacentral:rRNA from 1 species